UGGGGAAUAUUGCACAAUGGGCGCAAGCCUGAUGCAGCAACGCCGCGUGAACGAUGAAGGUCUUCGGAUCGUAAAGUUCUGUUGCAGGGGAAGAUAAUGACGGUACCCUGUGAGGAAGCCCCGGCUAACUACGUGCCAGCAGCCGCGGUAAUACGUAGGGGGCUAGCGUUAUCCGGAUUUACUGGGCGUAAAGGGUGCGUAGGUGGUCUUUCAAGUCGGUGGUUAAAGGCUACGGCUCAACCGUAGUUAGCCUCCGAAACUGGAAGACUUGAGUGCAGGAGAGGAAAGUGGAAUUCCCAGUGUAGCGGUGAAAUGCGUAGAUAUUGGGAGGAAAACCAGUGGCGAAGGCGGCUUUCUGGACUGCAACUGACACUGAGGCACGAAAGCGUGGGUAGCAAACAGG
rnacentral:rRNA from 1 species